AAUGAACACUGGCGGCGUGGUUAAGACAUGCAAGUCGAACGGUUUUUCAGGUGUAGCAAUACAUUUGAAAAGACAGUGGCGAACGGGUGCGUAACACGUGAACAAUCUACCUUUUAGUGUGGAAUAGCUCGGCGAAAGCCGGAUUAAUACCGCAUGUGGUUGCUUCUCGCAUGAGAGGCAUACUAAAGUCAGGGACCGGCAAGGCCUGACGCUAUUAGAGGAGUUCGCGGCCUAUCAGCUAGUUGGCGGGGUAACGGCCCACCAAGGCUACGACGGGUAGGCUGGUCUGAGAGGACGACCAGUCACACUGGAACUGAGACAC
rnacentral:rRNA from 1 species